rnacentral:lncRNA from 1 species
GAAGGUUGGAGGGGAUGAGUCAGGGGCAAGGAAGGAUUAACAGAUUCUGCCUCAAGGCCUGGUGAACCAAGUCCUCUCCCCAAGACAGACACAUACUAGUGAAAUAAAUUGGAUUUAAAUCAUCACCUGAGGCAAUCCUGAAAGAGAAAAGCAGUCCUAGAAAAGAGUGGAGGAAAAGAGGACUGCCCCAUUCUCUUUGUGACCACGAAGACUGCCACCAUGUGGAUGGGAGCCACACGGCUUCUUUUAGCACCAGCUGAGAUUCUUCUGCCCUGGAACUAGUUCCUCCGAGUUAUUGCCAGGCCUGGAGAUUUAAUUCCUGCACCUGGAAGGUGAGGAAAGCAAAAUGUUGUGAGCACCUACCAUAUGCCAGCCACUGUUCUGUGAACUGGUUGUACGGGAGUGAAUGAGAUCAUCUUGAUUUUGAGAAGUUUAUCAUCUACUCAAGGGAAACACAUGUAAUAAACUAUGUUUUAGACAUAACCCCUCAAAACCAAAGCGGAACCUCUUCAAGGAGCUGACAGAUGCAAGCCUGGUACAAAGUCAGCAUGACUCGAAAAGA